rnacentral:rRNA from 1 species
AGGCCAGUACUUAGGGUCUUUACCUAAGUAAGCUAUCACGGGUAACGGGCGGUUACCGUCGUACUGCCGGAGAAGGCGCCUGAGAGAUAGCGACUAUAUCCACGGGUAGCAGCAGGCGCGAAACUUACCCACUCGAGACUAUCGGAGGUGGUAAUGACCAGUUAUAAUUAAGGAAUUUUCCUUAUUAUAUAGGAAUAUACUUUUCCAGUAUAUUGUAACCUAGCAGAGGGCCAGUCUGGUGCCAGCAGCUGCGGUAAUUCCAGCUCUGCAAGUUUGCUCCCAUAUUGUUGUAGUUAAAACGCUCGUAGUCUGAAUUAUUUUAAUUUAAAUUUUUUAAAUUAAAAUUUAGUUUUUAUUUUAUAAAAACGUUCACUGUGAACAAAUCAGAACGCUUAAAGUAAUUUUCUUUAUUGAAUGAUUUAGCGCAGUAUGAAAUUUUUACUUUUUAAAUUUUAAUUAAUUUAACAAGUAAUAUCAAAGAGAAUAAUCGGGGAUAGAUCUAUUUCAUGGCGAACAGCGAAAUGUUUUGACCCAUGAGAGAGAAACGAAGGCGAAAGCAUCUAUCAAGUGUAUUUCUAUCGAUCAAGGGCGAGAGUAGGAGUAUCCAACCGGAUCAGAGACCCGGGUAGUUCCUACCUUAAACUAUGCCGACAAGGUUUUGUUUUUUUUAAUAAAAGCAGUACCAUAGGAGAAAUCAUAGUUCAUGGGCUCUGGGGGAACUACGACCGCAAGGCUGAAACUUGAAGGAAUUGACGGAAGGGCACACCAGGGGUGGAGCUUGUGGCUUAAUUUGAAUCAACACGGGAAAACUUACCAGGACCAGAUAUUUUUAAUGACUGAUCAGGCUAUAGGUCUUUCAGGAUAUGAUUUUUGGUGGUGCAUGGCCGUUGGUGGUGCGUGGGUUGACCUGUCUAGCGUUGAUUCAGAUAACGAGCGAGAUUAUCACCAAUUAAAUAUAUAAAUAUUUUUAUUAAAAUAAUUUAUUUUCUAAUUGGGACUCCCUGCGUCUAAGCAGGAGGAAGAUGGUAGCAAUAACAGGUCCGUGAUGUCCUUUAGAUGCUCUGGGCUGCACGCGCGCUACAAUGUUAUAAUCAAAGAGGUUUGCUAAAUCGAUAGAUUAUCUUUUUUUUUA